rnacentral:rRNA from 1 species
GACGUAGGGCGCGAGCGUUGUCCGGAUUUAUUGGGCGUAAAGAGCUCGUAGGCGGCUUGUUGCGUCGACUGUGAAAACCCGCGGCUUAACCGCGGGCCUGCAGUUGAUACGGGCAGGCUAGAGUUCGGUAGGGGAGACUGGAAUUCCUGGUGUAGCGGUGAAAUGCGCAGAUAUCAGGAGGAACACCGGCGGCGAAGGCGGGUCUCUGGGCCGAUACUGACGCUGAGAAGCGAAAGCGUGGGGAGCGAACAGG